UGACAGUCGUACGAUGAAGCCCAGCUUGCUGGGUGGAUUAGUGGCGAACGGGUGAGUAACACGUGAGUAACCUGCCCUGGACUCUGGGAUAACCCCGAGAAAUCGGAGCUAAUACCGGAUAGGACCUGGAACCGCAUGGUUUUGGGUGGAAAGUUUUUUCGGUCUGGGAUGGACUCGCGGCCUAUCAGCUUGUUGGUGAGGUAAUGGCUCACCAAGGCGUCGACGGGUAGCCGGCCUGAGAGGGUGACCGGCCACACUGGGACUGAGACACGGCCCAGACUCCUACGGGAGGCAGCAGUGGGGAAUAUUGCACAAUGGGCGAAAGCCUGAUGCAGCAACGCCGCGUGAGGGAUGACGGCCUUCGGGUUGUAAACCUCUUUUAGUAAGGAAGAAGGGGAGCUUGCUCCUUGACGGUACUUGCAGAAAAAGGACCGGCUAACUACGUGCCAGCAGCCGCGGUAAUACGUAGGGUCCGAGCGUUGUCCGGAAUUAUUGGGCGUAAAGAGCUCGUAGGCGGUUUGUCACGUCUGCUGUGAAAUCCCGAGGCUCAACCUCGGGCCUGCAGUGGGUACGGGCAGACUGGAGUGCGGUAGGGGAGAUUGGAAUUCCUGGUGUAGCGGUGGAAUGCGCAGAUAUCAGGAGGAACACCGAUGGCGAAGGCAGAUCUCUGGGCCGUAACUGACGCUGAGGAGCGAAAGCGUGGGGAGCGAACAGGAUUAGAUACCCUGGUAGUCCACGCCGUAAACGUUGGGCGCUAGAUGUGGGGACCAUUCCACGGUUUCCGUGUCGUAGCUAACGCAUUAAGCGCCCCGUCCUGGGGGAGUACGGCCCGCAAGGCUAAAACUCAAAGGAAUUGACCGGGG
rnacentral:rRNA from 1 species